rnacentral:rRNA from 1 species
UACGUAGGGUGCAAGCGUUGUUCGGAAUCAUUGGGCGUAAAGCGUGUGUAGGUGGCUUAGUAAGUUGAUUGUGAAAUCCCUCGGCUCAACCGAGGAAGUGCAGUCAAAACUAGUAGGCUAGAGGACAGCAGAGGAAGGUGGAAUUCCAAGUGUAGAGGUGAAAUUCGUAGAUAUUUGGAGGAAUACCGGCGGCGAAGGCGGCCUUCUGGACUGUUCCUGACACUGAGACACGAAAGCGUGGGUAGCAAACAGG